AUUGAACGCUGGCGGCAGGCCUAACACAUGCAAGUCGAGCGGAUGAUGGGAGCUUGCUCCCGGAUUCAGCGGCGGACGGGUGAGUAAUGCCUAGGAAUCUGCCUGGUAGUGGGGGACGACGUUUCGAAAGGAACGCUAAUACCGCAUACGUCCUACGGGAGAAAGCAGGGGACCUUCGGGCCUUGCGCUAUCAGAUGAGCCUAGGUCGGAUUAGCUAGUUGGUGGGGUAAAGACCUACCAAGGCGACGAUCCGUAACUGGUCUGAGAGGAUGAUCAGUCACACUGGAACUGAGACACGGUCCAGACUCCUACGGGAGGCAGCAGUGGGGAAUAUUGGACAAUGGGCGAAAGCCUGAUCCAGCCAUGCCGCGUGUGUGAAGAAGGUCUUCGGAUUGUAAAGCACUUUAAGUUGGGAGGAAGGGCAGUAAGUUAAUACCUCGCUGUUUUGACGUUACCAACAGAAUAAGCACCGGCUAACUUCGUGCCAGCCGCCGCCGUAAUAC
rnacentral:rRNA from 1 species